rnacentral:lncRNA from 1 species
UAUAUAGUCCGGCUGGGAUACUAUCGAUAGCACAAAGGAUUUGGUGCUAUCGAGUUUUCCACCGUUAGAUUUAGCCCUUUUAUUAUUUUUAUCCGUUAGAUUAUACUAUUCCAACCAACCACUCACUCAACCCUAGGGGGCCCACAUCAUCCUAACUGCACAUCUUUUAAUCCAAGGGCAGAAAACUUAAUAGCACCAGAUCGUUGGUGCUAUUAAUAAUAUUCCAAUCUAGUUCUAUAUAUAUAUAUAGAGAGAGAGAGAGGAAUUGAGCUAGAAUACUUUUAGAAGCACAAAUCCCUUGGUGCUUCUAAGUUUCUAGCUUUUAGAUCUACUCCUUAAUUACUAAUACCCCUUGGAUCAAACACUAAUCCACCUACCACCAACUACCACCACCUACUACCAUCAUCUCAACCCUACAUCUCUCCAUUCAAGGGCUAAAAAUUCAAAAGCACCACUCCCUUGGUGCUUUUGAGAGUAUUCUAGCUCAACUCUAUAUAGAGCUAGUCUCCUAUACUAUCUAUAGUACCGGGACUCCGAUACUAUAGUCCCGUUUUCGAUCUUAGGGUGUUCAAAUCAACGAUCCAUACCAUUAAAACUGAUCUAGGGUAUUUAAAGUUUUUAGAAAUAAAAUUUUAUAUUUUUUCAACAUAGUUUACUUUAUGAUCAAACCAUUUCAAAAUUGUCAAUUUUUAAUGGCCACUAUGGCAAGUUUGGAGUUUAACGGUGUAGAAGAAUCUAAAUUUCUUCAAAUUUUGAUAGAAGAUACUUUAAACUAUCUAGAUUAAGGUUAGCAUUCUUGAUCUUGAAUUUAAAAGUCCUAUGCUCAAAUUUUAAAUAUUAUUCAAUUUCCACCGUCCAUUUUGACAUAAUUUAUUUACUAAGUAAACAAUGUCGAAAAAAACUAAAAUUUUAUUCCUAAGAACUUCAUAUACCCUAGAUCAUAUUUAACGGUGUGGAUCGUUAAUUUGAACACCCUAAGAUCGAAAACAAGACUAUAGUACCGGAACUCCGGUACUAUAGAUAGUAUAGUAGCCUAAUUCAAUUGAUUUGGAUAUCUUUACGCCGUUAAACAAGAAAACGCCUCAUAUCGACCAUUAAAAUUACAAAUUUUGAAACCCUUUGAUCAUUAGGCAAAUGAUGUUGAAAAGAUUUGAACUUUGAUUCCUAAACAUUUCAAGUGGUAUAGAUUAUGUUCAACGGUGCCGAUCGUCGAUUUGGAGGCUCUAUCAUCAAAAACAAAUGGGUGGCAACGGAACCCAUUUGCUAUCAAUAGUAUUCUAGCUCAACUCAUAUAGGGUUGAGCUAGAAUACUAUCGGUAGCAAACGGGCUCCGUUGCCACCCAUUUGUUUUCGAUGAUAGAGCCUCCAAAUCAACGAUCGAUACCAUUGAAUAUGAUCUAUACUACUUGAAGUGUUUAGAAAUCAAAUUUCAUACAUUUUCGAUAUUAUUCUCUUAUCCAUCGAGUGGACACAAAAAUGAACGGCUGAAAAUAAAUAUUCGUUAAAAAAUGAUGAUAGGAGUCUUGUAGUCAAGGUCAAAAGUAUAGAUCUUGUUUUAAAUAGUUUAAAGAAUUUUCUAACAAAAAUUCAAUUGAUUUGGAUAUCUUUACGCCGUUAAACGAGAAAACGCCUCAUAUUGACCAUUAAAAUUACAAAUUUUGAAACCCUUUGAUCAUUAGGCAAAUGAUGUUGAAAAGAUUUGAAAUUUGAUUCCUAAACAUUUCAAGUGGUAUAGAUCAUGUUCAACGGUGCCGAUCGUCGAUUUGGAGGCUCUAUCAUCGAAAACAAAUGGGUAGCAACGGAGCCCAUUUGCUAUUGAUAGUAUUCUAGCUCAACUCUCUC